CAAAGUUCAGCUGAGGCCUUUAACAGGAUGAAAAGGAAUGUCACAGAGACCUUUGCAGUUUUUCACAGGAAAUGCAAGAAUUUUAUUAUAAUCACUAGCCCAAAUAACAAAUAUAAUGAUGCAUUUGGAGCUGGAUUUUCACAAGGUCCCUCCUCUCAGUGGAAUUACAAAGAUGCAAGCAAACACCAAACGCAGGAAUUUAAAGACUAUUCAGUGCCAUAGCAGCAAAGAGUGGAAACCCUGAUGGUACUGUCAGAAAUCUAAUUGUUUCUUUCUGAAGGCUGCCAAUUUCUGCAAUAUUGAAACAGAGGUAUUGACAGCCCGGUAUUAUAAUGUAAUAAAUUUUGGGAUUGCACUCUGGGGUGAAGAGGA
rnacentral:lncRNA from 1 species